UGUAUUUUUAGUAGAGAUGGGGUUUUGCCAUGUUGGCCAGGCUGGUCUUGAACUCCUGACCUCAGGUAAUCCACCCACCUCAGCCUCCCAAACUGUUGGGAUUAUAGGCAUAAACCACAGCACCUGGCCUAACAGUUAUUUUUAAAAAUAAUUUCUACCAACUGUAAUCGGUCAUCCCCUUUCCUGACAGACAUUUGGCCCCCUUGAUGACAUCUCCAGCUGGUUCCAAAACUUUUCAGUUGUUUUUAGUUAUUAAUGUAGUCUCUUGUUUCAGCCAUUAACUUUGUCUUUCCAUUUUCGAAGGUCAGUCUCCUUUGGGACUCACAGUCUAGCAGGCAGGCCUUGUGGCAUGGAGGGGAGAUGGGUCUGCUCUCUCUUCUCUGCCCUCUGGUGGGGAGAAACAAGAAGGAAAAAAAGGACUUGUUUCCUUAGGUGUCCCCUGCUGGCCCUUGGCUGACCUCUUCUUCGCUUCUUGCGAGGUGUCUGUGUUCCUGUCCUCUAGGACAUCACAGCUGCUCAGCUCCUUAUCUGUAGACACGGGGUGAUGGAGUAGCACGCUGCGAAAGGGCUUGGUGCCAAGUAGCUCUCCUCUGCUGGUGGAGUCUGGCUCACCCUUCACAGUGCACCUCUUUGCCCCCCGCAGGCCUGCUGCCCCAUCACAUCUACCAUCUGCAGCCCCAGCCUGGGGCCUGUGGACACAGGCCUGUCUCAGAAAAAAUCUCAGAAUCCAUCUUUCUGCCACUCCUUGCCACCUGAUCACAUCCUUGGCCUUCCCUCUCCAUGCCCUUUCCCCUAUUUCCGUAGCACCAGGACAGGUUUGGCAAGUGUAGUUGCUCAGCAAACAUCAUGAGGGAAGGAGAAGUCAGAUGCCCUCUGGUGGCACCCCACACCUGAUGAAUGAUUCUUUUGGCUCUAUUCCAGUUAGCUACUGUCCUAGUUAGCUCUGUUCCAGUUAGCUUGUGUAACUGUAACGGAUCAGCCUCAACUUUGAGGUAUAACACAAUCACCAUUUCAUCAUGGUCAUGGAAUCUGUGGGUCAGGAGUUUCACAAGGCACAGCGGGGAUGACUGGUCUCUGCUUACGGUAGGUGGCCUCCAAGAUGGCUCCCAAAGACCCCUCCCCCCUGGUAUUCACCCCCUUGUGUAGUCCCCUUCCACACCAUAUCAUGUUGGUCUGUGUGACCAAUAGAAUAUGGCAGAAGUGAUAGUAUGUCACUUUUGAAGCUAGGUUGUGGAAGAUAGUGUGAGGCUGGGCGCGGUGUCUUACGCUUAUAAUCCCAGCACUUGGGGAGGCCAAGGUAGAAGGAUCGCUUGAAGCCAGGAGUUUGAGACCAAUCUGGGCAACAUAGAGAGACCCUGUCUCUACAAAAAAAAUUUAAAAAAUUAGCCGGUGCAGAACGAGACUCCGUCUCAAAAAAAAAAAAAAAAAAUUAGCCGGUGCAAUGACUCACACCUGUAGUCGCAUCUAGUUGGGAGGCUGAGGCAGGAGGAUUGCUUGAACACAGGAGGUAGAGGCUAUAGUGAUCUGUGAUUGUGCCACUCUGCAUUCUAGCCUGGGUGACAGAACAAGACCCUGUCUCAGAAAAAAAAAAAAAGAAGAUAUUGUGGCUUCUGCCUCUCUGUCUCUUGGAUCACUCCCUUGGGGAAGCCAGGUGCUGGGUUGUGAGGCCAGCUGCCUCUAUGGAGAGGCCCACCUGGAGAGGAACUGAGGCUUCCUGACAAUGUCCACAUGAAUGAGCUUGGAAAUGGAUCCUCUGGCCCCAGAGAAAGCAGAUGACUGCAGCCCUGGCCGACAGCUUAACUGCAAUUUCAUGAGAGACCUCGAAUCAGAAUCACCCAGAUAUGCUGCUCUUGGAUUCCUGACUAUCAGAAACUGUUAGAGAUGGGGCUUCGCCAUGUUGGUCAGAGUGGCCUUGAACUCCUGACUUCAGAUGAUCCGCCUGCCUUGGCCUCCCAAAGUGCUGGGAUUACAGGCCCGUCCCCAGUUGGUGAGUUUUCCAGUGGCCGGAAGACUGAGCCCUAGAGUAACAGCUGUGGACUCACUGCCCACUCUGUGUUUAUUGGGCUGGAACACCCUCUCUAUCCUGGAACUUCUGGUUGGACAGCGCUCUGAGCUUGUGGGGCCUGUGGAUGGUGGAUCUUGGAGUGAUUUCCAGCCCCAGUGAUCAGGUCUCCUGUCAGUGCCCCUUAACUACCUGUGGCCCACUACUUCCCAUCACGCCAACUCCCAAGUUCCAGGAUGUGACAGUUCCCAGGUCUACUGCCUUCCAGGCACGGAGCUCAUGUUGGGGACCCAGAAAUAAAUGAGAUACAUACAA